rnacentral:tRNA from 1 species
GUAUUCGUCGUUCAGUGGUAGAAUUCUCACCUUACAUGUGGGAGACCUAGGUUUGAUUCCCAACCAAUGUA